rnacentral:rRNA from 1 species
UAGCAGCGUGGUACCGUCCCAACCCCUGUGACAUACCUAUACGUUGCCUCGGCGGAUCAGCCCGCGCCCCGUAAAACGGGACGGCCCGCCCGAGGACCCCUAAACUCUGUUUUUAGUGGAACUUCUGAGUAAAACAAACAAAUAAAUCAAAACUUUCAACAACGGAUCUCUUGGUUCUGGCAUCGAUGAAGAACGCAGCAAAAUGCGAUAAGUAAUGUGAAUUGCAGAAUUCAGUGAAUCAUCGAAUCUUUGAACGCACAUUGCGCCCGCCAGUAUUCUGGCGGGCAUGCCUGUUCGAGCGUCAUUUCAACCCUCAAGCUCAGCUUGGUGUUGGGACUCGCGGUAACCCGCGUUCCCCAAAUCGAUUGGCGGUCACGUCGAGCUUCCAUAGCGUAGUAAUCAUACACCUCGUUACUGGUAAUCGUCGCGGCCACGCCGUAAAACCCCAACUUCUGAAUGUUGACCUCGGAUCAGGUAGGAAUACCCGCUGAACUUAAGCAUAUCAAUAAGCGGAGGAA